rnacentral:lncRNA from 1 species
GAAUCUUAUUUUCAUUCUAAUUUAAAAAAAAAAUAGAAACUUUAUACCACAAUCUUCCAAAAUCAAAUCUCUAAUUCUGAUUUAGAUUCUGAUCACAAACCAAUCACCAUUGCGGAUGUGCCCAUUCUGAAUCCUAUUCCGAUUCCGAUUCCGACACAUGUCAUGAACCAAACGGCCGUCAAUCUACAAUUAAUAAUUUUACGGAUUACAUUAGCAUCCUAACCGCACUUUUGUAAUUAAUAAAUAGGCUGCUUUUGUGAGAA